UACGGAGGGUGCAAGCGUUGUUCGGAUUUAUUGGGCGUAAAGCGCGUGUAGGCGGUUUCUUAAGUCUGAUGUGAAAGCCCUGGGCUCGACCCAGGAAGUGCAUUGGAUACUGGGAAACUUGAAUACGGGAGAGGGUAGUGGAAUUCCUAGUGUAGGAGUGAAAUCCGUAGAUAUUAGGAGGAACACCGGUGGCGAAGGCGGCUACCUGGACCGAUAUUGACGCUGAGACGCGAAAGCGUGGGGAGCAAACAGG
rnacentral:rRNA from 1 species